GUUUUAGCAUGUUGUUAGGGAGUUACUGCAGUAGCUUGUUGCCAGGGCAUUGCUAUGCAGUUGCUAGGGAGUUACAGCAUCAGGUUGUUGCUAGGGCGUUGCUAUGCAGUUGCUAGGGAGUUACAGCAGCAGAUUGUUGCUAGGGCGUUGCUAUACAGUUACUAAGGAGUUACUACAGUAGGUUUUGGUCGUGGUCAUGGUGAUGAUAUGCAGUUGCUAGGAAGUUACUGCAGCAGGUUGUUGCCAGGGUAUUGCUAUGCAGUUGCUAGGGAGUUACUACAGCAGGUUGUUGCCAGGGUGUUGCUAUGCAGUUGCUAGGUAGUUACUGCAGCAGGUUGUUGCCAGGGUGUUGCUAUGCAGUUGCUAGGGAGUUACUACAGCAGGUUGUUGCCAGGGUGUUGCUAUGCGGUUGCUAGGGAGUUACUACAGCAGGUUGUUGCCAGGGUGUUGCUAUGCAGUUGCUAGGUAGUUACUGCAGCAGGUUGUUGCCAGGGUGUUGCUAUGCAGUUUCUAGGGAGUUACUAUGGUAGUUACCAGGGUGUUGCUAUUAGUUAAUAAGGUGGUCAGAGUGUUUUUUUUAACAUGUUGCCAAGCAGUUGCUAGGGAGUUACAAAAGUAGGUUGUUGCCAGGGUGUUGCUAUGCAGUUGCUAUGGAGUUAGUAAGUUAUUGCUAUAUACAGUACAGAAAUAGACUAUAAAGGCAUAGAUUAUUUUAUCUUUAUAAAUUUGGUUUAAUCUUGCAACUGGAAAUCUGCUGUUGUGCUCUAUGUGUGAUUUAUAUUUUUAUGACGUGCAUGAACAUUUUGUUUUUAUUACAUAAAUCACAUCACAAAAAUAUCCAAGAUUCCCAAACGCAGGCUAUCUUUAACCGAAUCCAGUGAAGUUAUUGAAUUAUUGCGGUCUGUUCUAAAACGAGAGCGAGUCGGCCUGAGGGAACGCAAGCACACAGACGUCUCACAGCGGGAUGCUUGUGCUUUUGCCAGGUACAUUAAACCACAAAUCUCCUCUUACUCUGACCUCUGCUUCGACUUUGGGUCCAAGAUCCCAUCGGCCAAUCAGAAGUGCGUUCUGAUGUCUUCUGCAGAGGUUUCUUGCGUGCGAGGAUGAGUUUGCGUGCCACACCGGCCUAGCGUGCGCAGAUCCCGGUCACCGGCCCCGACCUCCCCUGGGAGGAGGAGGAGAUUAAAAUGAGACGGGGAAGGAAAAAAAUACGGCGAGAAAUGGCUUCCAGAUGACCCCGAUUUGAGUUGGUUAGCUCAUUUGUAGCUGGCAGACAGACUCUGACAGGAACAAUUACAGCAGCCUGAAGCUCCACACAGCAGCAGCACAUCUCCAGACCCUGAAGAAUCCAAGAAGAGCUGUUUUGGAGAUCUAUGAGACGGAGAUCCAGCUCUUAUGACUCUCGCAGAGAGACGUUCAGAGGAAAAACAGACGUUCAGUGAUCCGGCUCUCCACCUCUGCUGGAUGCUGCGGUCGGAUUGGAUGGAUGGUUUUUCCUUCACCUCAUCAGGGUCACUAAACGCCCAUCCCGAAGCUAUCCAGGACAGCCAAUGUCUCCGCUUCAGCACGAAUAUAAAUAGAGAGCUUUCAAUCCAUUACAUGUGGAAAGAUCAGGAGCGGGUUUUUCUGUUUAUAAUGCUCUGAGGUCCUGUAAACACAUGGACACAUACAGCAACCACAAUAGAGACCCUGAAGGUCAGAGGUCAAUGUUUGGAACAAGUCAGACUGUAGUUUAAAUAUCACCAUUCAAACUCAAUUACAAUUUCCACUGUGUUCUUUUAACAUCCCAGAUGACGUAGAAGAAAAAGACAUGGUCCUCAUUAUAUUUCAAACCAUAUUUACCUGUAUUUGAUUUCUAAUUAAAUCAAAAAUAGCACGUAGAUGAGUUUCAUGUCACAGCUCAGGAUAGUGACUAGUACGCAUGAAUUGUCUGUGUAUUUUGUUAUAUGUUAAGCAAUCAUUUUGUUAAAAAAAAAAAAAAUUAAAUCAAUCAAUCAAUAAAUGCAUCUAUAUGUAAUUGUCUGCAUAAUAUUUUAAGCAUUCCUCAAAAAAGUAAUAAAAUUAGUUAAAAAUAAAUAAAUAAAAAUUAAUGAAUAAAUAAAUGUAUCUAUAUAAUUGUCUAUGUAUUUUGUUAUUGUGCAUCAAAAAUAAAUAGAAUUUGUUAAAAAUAUUUAAAAAUAUAAAAUAAAUAUAUCUAUACAUAAUUGUGUAUUUUGUUGUUUUAAGCA